GAUGAAGAACGCAGCGAAAUGCGAUAAGUAAUGUGAAUUGCAGAAUUCAGUGAAUCAUCGAAUCUUUGAACGCACCUUGCGCUCUUUGGUAUUCCGAAGAGCAUGCCUGUUUGAGUGUCAUGAAAAUAUCAACCUUGACUUGGGUUUUGUGCUCUAGUCUCGGCUUGGAAUUGGGUGCUUGCCGCUUUUACGAGCGGCUCACCUUAAAUGUAUUAGCUGGAUCUGUCUUUGAGACUUGGUUUGACUUGGCGUAAUAAGUAUUUCGCUAAGGACAUUCUUCGGAGUGGCCUCGUUUCUAGGACGCUUGUCCGCUUUCCAAUACAAGUUCCACCUCCUGGACAUGACUUUUUAUUAUCUGGCCUCAAAUCAGGUAGGACUACCCGCUGAACUUAAGCAUAUCAAUAAGCGGAGGA
rnacentral:misc_RNA from 1 species